rnacentral:rRNA from 1 species
AGUAGGGAAUCUUCCGCAAUGNACGAAAGUCUCACGGAGCAACGCUGCGUGAACGAAGAAGGCCUUCGGUUCGUAAAGUUCUGUUGUUAGGGAAGACCAAGUACCAGAGUAACUGCUGGUACCUUGACGGUACCUAACCAGAAAGCCACGGCUAACUACGUGCCAGCAGCCGCGGUAAUACGUAGGUGGCAAGCGUUGUCCGGAAUUAUUGGGCGUAAAGCGCGCGCAGGUGGUUCCUUAAGUCUGAUGUGAAAGCCCACGGCUCAACCGUGGAGGGUCAUUGGAAACUGGGGAACUUGAGUGCAGAAGAGGAAAGUGGAAUUCCAA